GACGGAGGGUGCUAGCGUUGUUCGGAAUUACUGGGCGUAAAGGGCGCGUAGGCGGCCGCUUAAGUCGGGUGUGAAAGCCCGGGGCUCAACCCCGGAACUGCAUCCGAGACUGGGUGGCUGGAGACCGGGAGAGGAGAGUGGAAUACCCAGUGUAGAGGUGAAAUUCGUAGAUAUUGGGUGGAACACCGGUGGCGAAAGCGGCUCUCUGGCCCGGUUCUGACGCUGAGGCGCGAAAGCGUGGGGAGCAAACAGG
rnacentral:rRNA from 1 species